GAUGAACGCUAGCUCCAGGCUUAACACAUGCAAGUCGAGGGACCGGCGCACGGGUGAGUAACACGUAUCCCACCUGCCCUUUACUCGGGGAUAGCCUUUCGACAGAAAGAUUAAUACCCUAUAUAAAGGAUGGGGAUGCGUUCCUUUUGGUGGUUGGUGAGGUAACGGCCCACCAAGCCUUCGAUGGAUAGGGGUUCAGAGAGGAAGGUGCCCGACAUUGGAACUGAGACACGGUCCAAACACGUACUGGAGGCAGCAGUGAGGAAUAUAGGGCAAUGGGCGGUAGCCUGAACCAGCCAAGUAGCGUGAAGGAUGAAGGCUUAUGGGUCGUAAACUUCUUUUAUAUAAGAAUAUGUAGUAUAUGAAUAAGGAUCGGCUAACUCCGUGCCAGCAGCCGCGGUAAUAC
rnacentral:rRNA from 1 species